AACUAAUUAAUUUUAUUAAAAUUAUAAGAAUUUAUAAAAGAUAAUGAAGAACACUUUGGGGCCUCAUUAAAACCUUGUUUGGGGAAAACCCAAUGGGACAAAACCCCAAACGAAGGAAAAAGAGUACCCCGGAUUGUAAACAUUGCAUUAAAAAAUGAAAACUACAUAUUUGAGUCUACAUGCUUCCUCCCGAAUCUCCAUAAACAUUUCUUGAUUUGAUCAAUCUUUUUUUCAUCCUCCACAAUUAAUCGAACCAAAGAAUCAUCACAUGUACCUACAAAAAAAAAUAGCAAUGAAUUCUGAACUACAAAACAUCAUUUAAAAUGUCUUCUUGUUGCACUUUUAGAUUCAAAAUCAUCAAUUAUACUAUCAUAUUUAAUGUUUUCUAACAUAUCAUUUUCAAUGCAUAAUAUUGCUAAUCCAUUUAGCCUAUCUUGAGUCAUGGUGGUCCGCAAGUAAGAUUUCAAUAAUUUUAAUUUAGAAAAACUUCUUUCAGCAGAUGCCACAGUCACAGGUAUAGUCAAUAAUACCCUAUAAGCAACCAUUACAUUAGGAAACAUAUCCACACUCUUUACAAACUCAAGAAUUUUAAUGGAUGUCCAUGGUUUAUCUGUUUCAUAUGCUUCUUUUGGUAACAUCACUUGCAACACCUGUAAUUCUGAAAAUAAGUCUCUUGCAUCAACAUCAGAGACAUCACCAUGUUUUAAAGCAUUUUCAAGAUUCACAUAAGAACUUUUCAAUUCAUUAUCAUCAAACGAAGUCAACUUUGCAGCAUCAAAUAAGAACCCAAAAAUUGAUUCAAAACAAUGCAAUUGUUCAAACCUACUCUUCAAUUCACAAAGAGCAAUAUCCACUAUAACAAGAAAAUAAUCAGUUCUAAUUGAUUCUUUAGCUGAUUGUUGUUCCCUAUCAUUAUUGGAAACCUCAUCAAAAUGCCUUUUUCUACAAAUUUGACGCUUUUUUGGAAAUACAGGCUCAAUUCCCAUAUCAAGGGAAAUUUCUUUAGCAUCAAUGAUGGCAGAAACAAACCCAUUUAUUCUAUAGUUUUCAAAAAAUAAAACAAGUCCUAAUUGUCGUACAACAGCAUCAAGACACGUGUCUUCAGAUUGUAACUUUUUACUAACUAAGUUAAUCUUAUGCAAAAUGUCAUGCCAAAUAACCAAACUUAAUAUAAAUUCAAAACUUGAAAGCUCUCCUAAUGCUAAACUUUGAGCAUCCCUACUCAAUUUGACAUCUUCACUAAUUUCUGUUAAUUUAAAUAAAGCUUCUCUAAUUUGGGAAUCUUGAUAUUUUAUUGCUUUGACACUUUCAAUGUGACUUUCCCAACGUGUAGUUGACAAUGAUUUCAAAUUCAAACCAUCUAUGUAAUCAAGUAACACAUUCCAUCGCUUUGUUGAAUUAGAGAAUACCGUAUAUAUGCAUUGACAUGCUCCAAAUAAAGAUUUUGCUUUAACGCAUGACUUGGCCAUAUUACAAACUAUUAAGUUGAGACAAUGAGAACCACAUGGCAUGUAAAAUGCUCUAGGAUUUCUAUCAAGUAAAAAAGAUUUCUUGAUAUAAAUCCUAGAUUAAGUGUACUUUUUUGUACACCUAGAUUUUUCCCUUUCAUAUUAGAGCCGUUAUCAUAACCUUGUCCCCUCACAUCAUCAAUAUUAAGUGUAAGGGACUCCAUUACAUUUUGCAAUUCAUUAAAAAUUCCUAAUCCAGAUGUAUCUUCCACAUUCAGAAACUUUAAAAAGUACUCUUCUAUAUUUAUUGGAGUACUUGAAAAAUCUACACACCUCAAUAUUAAAGUCAUUUGUUCUUUGUGACUUGCAUCAGGAGUACAAUCAAGAAUGACUGAAAAAUAUUUAGCUGUUUUUAUUUUUUGAGUAAAGUUCAGAUCACCACAUGGGGUUUGGGGUCUUUCCUACUUAACCACUUGUAGUCAUUAAAGCUACAUUUAAACUCCCGACUUUUUGAGUUGAAGUGAAUAAAUGCUUUCCGUCUUAACUCCGUUACUUGAGUUGGCUAAAGACUUAAUUACCCUCCAUAUAUAUAUAUAUAUUGAAAGCUUCCAUCUUCCUUCUCAUCAUCCCCAGUCCCAGUUUCUUCAAUUUCUCUGUCCAACUUCUCAGCAUCAACUGAAUCACUCCCAUCAUAAUAUCCGAAAUACUCACUCAUCAUUCUCUCUCUAUUACAAAGACUUUCUCUCUCCAAAAUCAUAGUGAUAUUAUUAUCAUCCAAAUAUAUACAUCCAAAGGUUUGCUAAUAAAUCAAAAACAAAAAACAAGAGCUCAUAUAAAUUCCCAAAAGGCAAAUGGGGAUAUCAAAAUCACCCCCUUAACAUCAUCAAUGUCUACAUUAUAAAAUCAUGUCUAAAGCUUACAAAUAUCUAAAGCUUACAAUGAGAACAAAGAUGAAAAAUAUCUACAUUAUAAAUAGGCACAGUUAUGUGGGUAUAGAAGAAAUCAAGUAAGUUUAUUAAAGUACAAAUUGAUCAAACAAUUGAAGUUAUAUAAUAAAAAUAUGGAGCUCAAUAAAGGAGAUAGAAAGAGAGGGAAAAAUGAUGGUAUCUGUAACCAUAUAAGGUGCAGCCAGAAAAGGGCUUCAGUUCCAAACAUCUAAAAGCAAUUAAGCUUAAAAGACCAUUGUAGCAGAAAAUAAGAGAUAGCAAUACUAAACAACCAAAAAGCAACAUCAAAAUUUUGCUUUCUUCCCAAUAGCAGCGGGAGCCAAACAGCAGCUUAUGAUAAAUUCACUGCUGAUUUAUUUUCUAGGCAGCCCUUUUUCUUUCUUCAGUAUUUGAGAGAAAAGAUGUGGGUGGAAAUUGAAGAAAAGGGAUCAAGAUUAUCAAAGCAACAACACCAACCACAAAAUCAAGAAAAACAACCAAAUAAAGAAAAACAAGAUAAAGAAUCUCAUCAAAAUGACCCACAACAGCCCAAAUUAGCUAGAUCAAAUUCUAUUCUUGAGCAUCUCAAAUUUAUCACUCUCUAUAACUUCAGAUCCCAAGAAUCAAAACCCACUACGGAGACCCAAUUCGUUUUUGGCCAUUUUCAUGAAGAAAUUAACCCCACAAAAUCUCAGACCCAUUUUGUUGUUGAACAAAUUCAUGAAGAAAAAGCCUCCGAAUCACAGACCCAAUUCGAUUUUGAGCAAACCCAUGAAGCAAAAAUCAUAAAUACACAGACCCAUGAAGCUAAUGAAGAAAUUAGUGAAGAAGAUGAAGAGCCACAAAGCCUAUAUGAAGCUAAUGAAGAAAUUAGUGAAGAAGAUGAAGAGCCACAAAGCCUAGAUGAAGCUAAUGAAGAAAUUAGUGAAGAAGAAGAAGAUGAAGAGGCACGUAACCGAGGAUGAUGAAGGUGUUGAUGCAAAAGCUGAUGAUUUCAUCAACAAAUUAGAACCAGUUGAAGUUACAGAGGAUGUUAAGUUGUGAUUUAUUUAUUUUAAAAGCCAAGAGGAAGAAGGGGUAUUUCAGACAUUUACCAAAUUUUUUUGACCGAUACAGUCCCUUUUCACGCGCUUUUGGCGUCUGACAUACUCGCACGGUUAAAUUGGAUGGAAAAGGUGACGUUUUCACUUCAACUCAAAAAAUCAGGAGUUUAAAUGUAGCUUUACUGACUACAUGUGGUUAAGUGGGAAAGAUCUCAAACCCCAAGUGGUGAUCUGAAUUUUACCCUUAUUUUUUCAAUGAUUGAAUGUUUAACAUUUGAUGCUAAAAUAGUUAUCAACUCAUUUUGAAUUUUAUGGCUAAGAUAAUGAUAAUGAAAUCUUUAAUGAGUCGAAAAUGGUGUUGUAUUACUGGAUCAAACUCUGCAAUCAUUUCAAGUAGGCCUAAAAAGUUACCAUUACCAUCUUCAUAAAUUUUUUCAUUUGUUCCACGAAAAGACAAAUUAUGUAUAGCAAGACAUUUCACAACAGCGAUGAUUCUGACAAUAACAUUUUUCCAGUGUAGUGUAUCUUUCUUGAUUAGCUCUUGUAAUUCUAUAUCAAUUGUUUGAUUUGUUUUCAAUCUGAUUUGCAUUUCAACACAAGACCUCAAGUUAGUGAGGUGUUCAAUACUGCUUUCAUGUUGUUUAAGCUUCUCACUAAGAUGUUUCCAAUCUCUAGUUCCUUCACUAGUUAACUGACUUCUAGAAUUCAUUGUUUUAAACAACUUACAACAGAAACAAAACACUUUAUCCAACUCCUUUGAGUACACUAGCCAUUUUCGAUCCUUAGUUUCCCCAUUUGGUAACGUGCGAAGAUAAUAAUUUAAAGAAAAACGUCUAUUGUGUUCGUCCAUGGGGAAUUUGAGAUUAGUUUCUCUUAGGGGACCUUUCUACAAGUAAAUCUCUCAUUUUUGCAUCAAGAUUAUCCCAAACUCGUGGAUCAUAAAUGUUCAAAUCAAAUCUUGUUUCGGGACAUUCAUUUUCAUGGCAAGGUUCAUCAAUAUUUUCAUUUUCAUCAAGGUAAAGUUCAUCACUAUUUUCAUUUUCAUCUAGAUUACCAAUUUCUUCAUUCACAUCAUUCUCAUUUUCUACUAAUUCUUCCAAUUGAAUUGGUUGUUCAUAUUCAUUUGGUAAAUCUUCAUCUAAAUUUUCAAGUGAAGUAUUGGUUUGUUUAACAAAAUAUUUAUUCAAAGAUCCUCUUAAACUUUGAGCAAUUUCUUCUUUUUUUUUCUUUCUUUGUCUCUUGAGAUUUCCGGAAAGUUGUUUCUUACGAAGCAUUUUUUAAUUUUUAUAAUAAACACAACACAAUAAAAAAUAAUAAAACUAAUUAACAAAGAACAAUAAAACCUGGAUUUUGAGUAUAUUUUCUUCCACUUGAAACUUCCAAUUAUAAAGAACAAGAAUCCCAGCCAAGUUUUCUGUUGAAUCAAAUAAUAAAUAAGAAAAAGUUAACACAUAUAUGUUAUACGCAUUACAAUUUACAAAAUAGGAGAAAAUAAACAAAAAUAAAAACCAAUGGAAACCCUAACUGUUUCAAUUCUUUCAUUACCACAAACAUUUCUUAUUUUCAAUUUGCUUAAUUCCUUAUACUACUAACAGUUUUCACUCGAAUCUCAAAAGUCACAGUCCCUUUUGUCAAGAAAAAUGAAAAUUAAGAAUUUAAAGAAAAGAAGAUUGAAGAUUGAAGAUAGUUGACCCAUAAAUCAGAUAAAUCAAACCAACAAAUCAUAGUUGUAGUAAGAACUUAUUCUACAUAUAAAACAAAACUGAUAGGCUGAUAGCAAAAGAUUUAUGAUAAAAGAGAUCUAGCCAAAACAUAUCAAUCUGAUACAUAUACCUUUAUUUCAAAAAACAAAAAACAGAAAAAUUGAUCAUUUCAUCAAUCAAAGAGAUCUAACAAGUAACAAAUCAAACAAUAAGACAAGGGUACUUAUGGUUUGACUUACAAAUAUAUUUACAGAUCCACUGGAACAAUCAGUUUUCUGAUCAAAGAAGCCAAACCAUUACGCUAGAAAGUGCAAAGAUUACAAAACGACAACUAGGGAAACAACAAAUUAUUUACAAAAUCGUGACACUGGCCAAAUCUUCUAACAUGGUGAUAUGGUAUUCACAAUUAUAUAACAAUAUUUGACAUAUUUAAUGACACACUAUGACAAUCAACUUUCUGAUCGUAAAAGCCAAUCAAUUAUAUCAGAAAGUGCAAAGAUUCCAAAAAAACAAGUAGGGAGUCAACAAAUUGAUUGCAAAAUCGUGAGAUUGGACAAAUCUCUUUAUAUUAGUCGUUUCAAAAAUCCCAAAAAAGAUCGUUAUUGACCAUAAACCCCCAGUGAUCAACAAACACCAAGCCCAACAAUCUCUCAAAUAGAACCAAAGAAAAUUCAUAUCACCAACAUUAACCCCAUCAAAUAGAACCAAAGAAAAUUCAUAUCACCAACAUUAACCCCAUCAAAUAGAACCAAAGAAAAUUCAUUUCCCCAAAAUUAACAAUGUCAAUUUACAGAUACAAUAUAACCAUUUCAGUCUGGAACUCGACAGAAUCCAGAGAUUUUCAUUUUUCAUAGGCCGAAGAGCCAAGAACAAACUAACAUAUGGAAGAAAAACCAUCAGCCAGUAAAGGAAAUAGAAUCCCCCUUGCCCCUUCAAUCACAAAGGAAUGCAUACAUAUUCUAUAGACAUCAAUCAAAGAGAUCUAACAAGUAACAAAUCAAACAAUAAAGCAACAGAUAAAUCAAUAAUCACACAGAUAUGGUGAUAUGGUGAUAUGGUGAUAUGGUGAUAAUCUUAAUUAACGAAUAGUCAAGUCAUACAGAAAGAUGAUUAAUAUUAAGUUGCAGAAACAGAGUUGAAAGAUCACAGUAAUAUAGAGAACAAAAGCGAAAAGAAGAUAUUGGCUUGCCUUGAGAAGAUUAUAUUUUCUUCUUUUUGUAUUUUGCCUUUUGGAAGUGCUUUGUUUUUGUUUGUCGUUUGAUCGCUCUUGGCUUGUAGAAACAAAAGUGAGGACUGCAGAGUUCAUUAGUUCAACGAAGCAGCAAAUUAAAAAGUGAGGACUGAUUGAGCAGAAGUCUAGAAGUCAGAAUAUUAAAAAUUUUUGGGGCCCCCUUUAGCUUUGGGCCCAGGGCAGUAGCCCCGGUAGCCCUGGGCCAAGGCCGGCUCUGAGUAGGAGGAACCAACAAUCAUGGACGGGCGGCACACGACCAAUCCCCAUCGGAUAUAUUUAAAAGUGUAGAUGGGUUAAUAUGCAUGACAAUAUGCUUAUUGGGCCAGUUUAUAUAUGUGUGCGCUGCAUUGAUGUGUGAUGGAUCGUACAAUUUUGCUACAAGCAAUCGCUGAACAGAUUAAACAGAUUCUGACAGAGCAAGGAGCGAUAAGAAAGGGGCCGAUCUCCCCAAAGAAACAGGUCAACUCCCUAUAAGCAAGUGGAAGUCAUUCCCGAAAGCCGUAGAAAGAGGCCCAGAGAUGAAUUUCCUUGAUCCCGAUUGGGUUCGAAAUUUGCUGCC
rnacentral:lncRNA from 1 species